CCAGACUCCUACGGGAGGCAGCAGUGAGGAAUAUUGGUCAAUGGGCUUACGCCUGAACCAGCCAAGUCGCGUGAGGGAAGACUGCCCUAUGGGUUGUAAACCUCUUUUGUCAGGGAGCAAUUGGCGCUACGUGUAGCGUUAUCGAGAGUACCUGAAGAAAAAGCAUCGGCUAACUCCGUGCCAGCAGCCGCGGUAAUACGGAGGAUGCGAGCGUUAUCCGGAUUUAUUGGGUUUAAAGGGCGUGUAGGCGGGAGAGCAAGUCAGAUGUGAAAACUACAGGCUUAACCUGUAGCCUGCAUUUGAAACUGUUCUUCUUGAGUGAUGGAGAGGCAGGCGGAAUUCCUAGUGUAGCGGUGAAAUGCGUAGAUAUUAGGAGGAACACCAGUGGCGAAGGCGGCCUGCUGGACAUUAACUGACGCUGAGGCGCGAAAGCGUGGGGAGCAAACAGGAUUAGAUACCCGUGUA
rnacentral:rRNA from 1 species